AAAACUUUCAACAACGGAUCUCUUGGUUCUGGCAUCGAUGAAGAACGCAGCGAAAUGCGAUAAGUAAUGUGAAUUGCAGAAUUCAGUGAAUCAUCGAAUCUUUGAACGCACAUUGCGCCCCUUGGUAUUCCGGGGGGCAUGCCUGUUCGAGCGUCAUUG
rnacentral:rRNA from 24 species